rnacentral:rRNA from 1 species
AUUGAACGCUGGCGGCAGGCCUAACACAUGCAAGUCGAACGAGUGGCGGAAGGGUGAGUAAUGUCUGGGAAACUGCCUGAUGGAGGGGGAUAACUACUGGAAACGGUAGCUAAUACCGCAUACCAUCAGAUGUGCCCAGAUUGGAUUAGCUAGUUGGUGGGGUAACGGCUCACCAAGGCGACGAUCCCUAGCUGGUCUGAGAGGAUGACCAGCCCCACUGGAACUGAGCCCCGGUCCCGACUCCUAGUGAAGCCAGCAGAGGGGAAUAUUGCACAAUGGGCGCAAGCCUGAUGCAGCCAUGCCGCGUGUAUGAAGAAGGCCUGCGGGUUGUAAAGUACUUUCAGCGGGGAGGCGUUACCCGCAGAAGAAGCACCGGCUAACUCCGUGCCAGCAGCCGCGGUAAUAC